rnacentral:lncRNA from 1 species
GAUCCCCAAAAUAAUCAGACAGGAAGAAAAAAGGUUUAAAACUUUUGUUUUCUCGCAGUAUAAAAAAGUCCACGCUGCAGAUAUGUAAAACAAUCUCUCUCUCUUGCUACCUCUCUCUCUACUCUUUUAUUUUUACUUGUGUAAAGUGAAAUUCAUUUUUUAAUUAAAACUAAUUAAAUGGAUUUCUUUAUUUGAGUAGUGCGCAGAAAUGAAGAACAAGUUUCGAAGUUGUACCAGUUACCAAAUUGAUCUUUUGAUUUGAAUUUAGGUUACACCAAAAGCGUCGGUAUUGGAUUGUACGAUGAACCUGGAGUGAAGAGGCAAAGGACAAGGCCACAGCUACUCCACGUUGUCUGAACUUGGAAAUGACAGCUGGCAUUCUGUUUUGAUAGCCCAUUCUGGUCUUAAUGGGCUGUCGUUAAAAAGCCUACUAAUCAUAUGAUAUGUCUGCGAUA